CCAAUUCCCUACCUGUCUUCCAGUCCCUGGCAAAUGCAAGUGAGGCCAUCGUCUCAGUCAUUUUGGGUUGCUAUCACAAAGUACCGUAGACUGGGUGGCUUAGAACAACAAACAUUUACUUCUCACCGUUCUGGAGGCUGGAAGUCCAACUGAGAGCACAUGACGUAAGAUGUUCUGUUUCCAAGCAACAGUCAUAGGUUUUGAGAAAUGGAAUGUUGCCUGCCCGUAUCAGUAAACAAAGGAUGUCACAGUCAUCAGCCAUUGCAGCCACCUCCGAUGGUGAGCUGGUGAGCCCUGAGGGCACUC